rnacentral:rRNA from 1 species
UACAGAGGUCUCAAGCGUUGUUCGGAUUCAUUGGGCGUAAAGGGUGCGUAGGCGGCUUCUUAAGUUUGGUGUGAAAUCUCCCGGCUCAACUGGGAGGGUGCGCCGAAUACUGAGGGGCUAGAGUGUGGGAGAGGAAAGUGGAAUUCCAGGUGUAGCGGUGAAAUGCGUAGAUAUCUGGAGGAACACCGGUGGUGUAAACGGCUUUCUGGACCAUUACUGACGCUGAUGCACGAAAGCGUGGGUAGCAAACAGG